GAAAUGCGAUAAUUAAUAUGAAUUGCAGAAUUCAGUGAAUCAUCGAGUUUUUGAACGCACAUUGCGCCCUCUGGUAUUCCAGAGGGCAUGUCCGACCGAGCGUCGCAGCGCCGCUCGGUCCGCGCCGUAAAAGGCGGGGACCGGUGUUGGGGCUCGCGGGGGGCGUCUUCGUUCCCGGCGGCUCUUAAAUUUAGUGGCGGCUCCUCACGGAACCCUCAGCGCAGUAACUAUUCCUGACGCUCCGGAGUCCGGGAGGCGGCCUGCCGUAAAACCCCCAAUUUAUCACCCGGUUGGCCUCGGGUCGGACAAGAUUACCCGCUGAACUUAA
rnacentral:misc_RNA from 1 species